AUUGAACGCUGGCGGCAGGCCUAAUACAUGCAAGUCGAACGAGUGGCGGACGGGUGAGCGAUGUCUGGAAACCUGGCCGAUCGAGGGGUAUGACUACUGGAAACGUUAGCAAAUACCGCAUACGACCCGCUGUGCCCAGAUGGGAUGAGCUAGUAGGUGGGGUAAAGGCUCACCUGGGCGACGAUCCCUAGCGGGUCUGAGAGGAUGACCAGCCACACUGGGACGGAGACACGGCCCAGACUCCUACGGGAGGCAGCAGUAGGGAAUAUUGCACAAUGGGCGAAAGUCUGACUGAGCCAGGCCGCGUGUAUGAAGAAGGUCUUCGGGUUGUAAAGCACUUUCAUCAGGGAGGCGGUACCUGCAGAAAAAGCACCGGCUAACUCCGUGCCAGCAGCCGCGGUAAUAC
rnacentral:rRNA from 1 species